rnacentral:rRNA from 1 species
GGCGAACGGGUGAGUAACACGUGAGUAACCUGCCCUUAACUCUGGGAUAAGCCUGGGAAACUGGGUCUAAUACCGGAUACGACUCCUCAUCGCAUGGUGGGGGGUGGAAAGCUUUUGUGGUUUUGGAUGGACUCGCGGCCUAUCAGCUUGUUGGUGAGGUAAUGGCUCACCAAGGCGGCGACGGGUAGCCGGCCUGAGAGGGUGACCGGCCACACUGGGACUGAGACACGGCCCAGACUCCUACGGGAGGCAGCAGUGGGGAAUAUUGCACAAUGGGCGCAAGCCUGAUGCAGCGACGCCGCGUGAGGGAUGACGGCCUUCGGGUUGUAAACCUCUUUCAGUAGGGAAGAAGCGAAAGUGACGGUACCUGCAGAAGAAGCGCCGGCUAACUACGUGCCAGCAGCCGCGGUAAUACGUAGGGCGCAAGCGUUAUCCGGAAUUAUUGGGCGUAAAGAGCUCGUAGGCGGUUUGUCGCGUCUGCCGUGAAAGUCCGGGGCUCAACUCCGGAUCUGCGGUGGGUACAGGCAGACUAGAGUGAUGUAGGGGAGACUGGAAUUCCUGGUGUAGCGGUGAAAUGCGCAGAUAUCAGGAGGAACACCGAUGGCGAAGGCAGGUCUCUGGGCAUUAACUGACGCUGAGGAGCGAAAGCAUGGGGAGCGAACAGGAUUAGAUACCCUGGUAGUCC